GACGAACGCUGGCGGCGUGCCUAACACAUGCAAGUUGAGCGACGAACCAGGGCUUGCCCUGGGGCAAAGCAGCGAACGGGUGAGUAACACGUGGGUAACCUACCCCGAUAACCGGGACAACCCGAGGAAACUCGGGCUAAUACCGGAUGUGCUCACUCGACUUCGGUUCAGUGCGUAAAGGAAGCUUCGGCCUCCGUAUCGGGAGGGGCCCGCGGCCCAUUAGUUUGUUGGUGAGGUAACGGCUCACCAAGACCGCGAUGGGUAGCUGGUCUGAGAGGACGAUCAGCCACACUGGGACUGAGACACGGCCCAGACUCCUACGGGAGGCAGCAGUGGGGAAUCUUGCGCAAUGCGCGAAAGCGUGACGCAGCAACGCCGCGUGGGGGAAGAAGGCCUUCGGGUUGUAAACCCCUUUCAGGAGGGACGAAGGUUCGGCGGUGAAUAGCCGUCCGGACUGACGGUACCUCCACAAGAAGCCCCGGCUAACUACGUG
rnacentral:rRNA from 1 species